GGAUUACUCCUUUACGCUUUCGCGUUUGGUUGAUAAAGAUUCGCACCUCUAUCAAACCGGGUAAUCCCACCUCUUGGCAAGACCUGCUGUCAGAUCAAAUCUGAACUACUACAAUUUAUAGGCAAUCCGGAGUGGCAGAUCUGUCAUGGCGUAGUGAACAAACUGUUGUCCAAGUUCAGUAAGGACAUACUGAUCUUCCUCGUCA
rnacentral:sRNA from 1 species